rnacentral:rRNA from 1 species
UACGUAGGGUGCGAGCGUUGUCCGGAAUUACUGGGCGUAAAGAGCUCGUAGGUGGUUUGUCGCGUCGUCUGUGAAAUUCCGGGGCUUAACCUCGGGCGUGCAGGCGAUACGGGCAAUACUUGAGUGCUGUAGGGGAGACUGGAAUUCCUGGUGUAGCGGUGAAAUGCGCAGAUAUCAGGAGGAACACCGAUGGCGAAGGCAGGUCUCUGGGCAGUAACCGACGCUGAGGAGCGAAAGCAUGGGUAGCGAACAGGAUUAGAUA